GAGCAGUACCAGAAAGGAGCCAUUUACCUAGCACAGAUGAAGUAACACAGCUUUUGAAUAAUCAGUUCACUGUGUUACAAUACCUUGAGGGCCAAGUUGAGUUUUACAAAGAUGCCCUGGAGUCUUUAAAACAAAGAGCAGAACUUGUGAUUACAGAAAAUGAAAAUUUAUUUGAUCAACUCAAGACUCAAGCCAUUUCUCAACUGCUAUCAACAGGAGAACAAAGCAAAUCUGAGGGUGGGUGCUUAUUCGAGGUGGGUGCUUAUUUGAGGCUGGGUGCUAAUAUUAAAUUUUCACCAUUUUC